AUGAACGCUGGCGGCGUGCCUAAUACAUGCAAGUCGAGCGAACGGACGAGAAGCUUGCUUCUCUGAUGUUAGCGGCGGACGGGUGAGUAACACGUGGAUAACCUACCUAUAAGACUGGGAUAACUUCGGGAAACCGUAGCUAAUACCGGAUAAUAUUUUGAACCGCAUGGUUCAAAAGUGAAAGACGGUCUUGCUGUCACUUAUAGAUGGAUCCGCGCUGCAUUAGCUAGUUGGUAAGGUAACGGCUUACCAAGGCAACGAUGCAUAGCCGACCUGAGAGGGUGAUCGGCCACACUGGAACUGAGGCACGGUCCAGACUCCUACGGGAGGCAGCAGUAGGGAAUCUUCCGCAAUGGGCGAAAGCCUGACGGAGCAACGCCGCGUGAGUGAUGAAGGUCUUCGGAUCGUAAAACUCUGUUAUUAGGGAAGAACAUAUGUGUAAGUAACUGUGCACAUCUUGACGGUACCUAAUCAGAAAGCCACGGCUAACUACGUG
rnacentral:rRNA from 1 species